rnacentral:rRNA from 1 species
CCUACGGGAGGCUGCAGUGAGGAAUAUUGGUCAAUGGACGAGAGUCUGAACCAGCCAAGUAGCGUGAAGGAUGACUGCCCUAUGGGUUGUAAACUUCUUUUAUAAAGGAAUAAAACGAGGCACGUGUGCCUUUUUGCAUGUACUUUAUGAAUAAGGAUCGGCUAACUCCGUGCCAGCAGCCGCGGUAAUACGGAGGAUCCGAGCGUUAUCCGGAUUUAUUGGGUUUAAAGGGAGCGUAGAUGGGUUGGUAAGUCAGUUGUGAAAGUUUGCGGCUCAACCGUAAAAUUGCAAUUGAUACUGGCAGUCUAGAGUACAGUUGAGGUAGGCGGAAUUCGUGGUGUAGCGGUGAAAUGCUUAGAUAUCACGAAGAACCCCGAUUGCGAAGGCAGCUUACUAAACUGUCACUGACAUUGAUGCUCGAAAGUGUGGGUAUCAAACAGGAUUAGAUACCCGAGUAGUC